AUUAACUGCCCGUGUCAGGGGCUCGGCCGCGGCUGUAAAUCUCUAGGAGUAACGGCGGCGCACCGGGACGGUCCCCGGUGGUCCUGUAUGUCUCUCUCUCUUAUAAUCCUGUGUGUGUGUGUCUGUGUCU